GUGCCAGCAGCCGCGGUAAUACGUAGGGGGCAAGCGUUGUCCGGAAUUAUUGGGCGUAAAGCGCGCGCAGGCGGUUCCUUAAGUCUGAUGUGAAAGCCCACGGCUCAACCGUGGAGGGUCAUUGGAAACUGGGGAACUUGAGGACAGAAGAGGAGAGUGGAAUUCCACGUGUAGCGGUGAAAUGCGUAGAUAUGUGGAGGAACACCAGAUGGCGAAGGCGACUCUCUGGUCUGUCUCUGACGCUGAGGUGCGAAAGCGUGGGUAGCAAACAGGCAUUAGAUACCCUGGUAGUCC
rnacentral:rRNA from 1 species